AACGAACGCUGGCGGCAUGCCUAACACAUGCAAGUCGAACGAGACCUUCGGGUCUAGUUGCGCACGGGUGCGUAACGCGUGGGAACCUGCCCUUAGGUUCGGAAUAACUCCCCGAAAGGGGGGCUAAUACCGGAUAAUGUCUUCGGACCAAAGAUUUAUCGCCUUUGGAUGGGCCCGCGUUGGAUUAGCUAGUUGGUAGGGUAAAAGCCUACCAAGGCGACGAUCCAUAGCUGGUCUGAGAGGAUGAUCAGCCACACUGGGACUGGGACACGGCCCAGACUCCUACGGGAGGCAGCAGUGGGGAAUAUUGGAAAAUGGGCGAAAGCCUGAUCCAGCAAUGCCGCGUGAGUGAUGAAGGCCUUAGGGUUGUAAAGCUCUUUUACCCGGGAUGAUAAUGACAGUACCGGGAGAAUAAGCUCCGGCUAACUCCGUG
rnacentral:rRNA from 1 species